GCUUAGCCAAGUGGUUACCACAACAGAGUCAAAAUCUGUUUCUCUCGCUGGUUCGAAACCUGCUAGCA